rnacentral:piRNA from 1 species
UAGAAAUCUUGGGAAUGUAUUCAUGCC